GGACGUGCAAGUUAUCUGACUGUGACCUGUGUCACACUCUUGAUUUCCAGGACUGAUCCAGCUGAUCUGGCUGACGCACUGGGUGUUCCCCUCCUUCCUCACUACUCCAUAUUCAUCCCUCCUGAAGCACACUCAGUCUAAAAAGAUAGCCUCUCCUAACUAGAGAAAGACCGGUCUUUGUUUAAGGGUAUGUGAAUAGUUGUGUUUCUCUGCUAGAACCUUCAGACAAACUCUCAAAGAAAACAUUUUGAAAAACUAUAAAAUACGUAAGUUCAAGUACUCGCAGGAUGAAUU
ensembl:misc_RNA 7SK 7SK RNA